rnacentral:rRNA from 1 species
AGCGAACGCUGGCGGCAGGCCUAACACAUGCAAGUCGAACGAACCCUUCGGGGGUAGUGGCGGACGGAUGAGUAACACGUGGGAACGUGCCUUUAGGUUCGGAAUAACUCAGGGAAACUUGUGCUAAUACCGAAUGUGCCCUUCGGGGGAAAGAUUUAUCGCCUUUAGAGCGGCCCGCGUCUGAUUAGCUAGUUGGUGAGGUAAUGGCUCACCAAGGCUACGAUCAGUAGCUGGUCUGAGAGGAUGACCAGCCACAUUGGGACUGAGACACGGCCCAAACUCCUACGGGAGGCAGCAGUGGGGAAUCUUGCGCAAUGGGCGAAAGCCUGACGCAGCCAUGCCGCGUGGAUGAUGAAGGUCUUAGGAUUGUAAAAUCCUUUCACCGGUGAAGAUAAUGACUGUAGCCGGAGAAGAAGCCCCGGCUAACUUCGUGCCAGCCGCCGCCGUAAGAC